GACGAACGCUGGCGGCGUGCUUAACACAUGCAAGUCGAACGGAGUGGCGAACGGGUGAGUAACACGUGGGUGACCUGCCCUGCACUUCGGGAUAAGCUUGGGAAACGGGGUCUAAUACCGGAUAGUGCAAGAUGAGCUCGCGGCCUAGCAGAUUGUUGGUGGGGUAUUGGCCUACCAAGGCGUCGACGGGUAGCCGGCCUGGGAGGGUGUACGGCCACAUUGGGACUGAGAUACGGCCCAGACUCCUACGGGAGGCAGCUGUGGCGAAUAUUGCGCAAUGGGCGGAAGCCUACUGCAGCGACUCCGCGUGGGGGAUGAAGGCCUUCGGGUUGUAAACUCCUUUCGUCAUGGACGCGGUACCUGUAUAAGAAGCACCGGCUAACUACGUGCCAGCAGCCGCGGUAAUUC
rnacentral:rRNA from 1 species